UACGUAGGCGGAAUGAUAAGUUAGUGGUGAAAUCCUCCGGCUUAACCAGGGAACUGCCAUUAAUACUGUCAUUCUUGAGUAUAGUUGAAGUGGGCGGAAUGUAUCAUGUAGCGGUGAAAUGCUUAGAUAUGAUACAGAACACCGAUAGCGUAGGCAGCUUGCUAAACUAUAACUGACGCUCAGGCACGAAAGCGUGGGGAGCAAACAGGAUUAGAUACCCUGGUAGUCC
rnacentral:rRNA from 1 species